AUGGUGUGCAAAGUUUCAUUUCAAAUAGGGGAUGAUUCAAAACACACCAAAGGUAGAACUAGUGCAAGUUGCAAAAUCAUACUAAUAAAGUUUCAAGCUCAUUCUACAUCAAAACAUACAUACCACUUGAGAUUUUCUAUUGAUUUAGUCCAUGACAAUGCCAAAGCAAUGCCCUGCUAUUAA